AAGUCGUAACAAGGUUUCCGUAGGUGAACCUGCGGAAGGAUCAUUACAUAAUCGAAUAAUAAUAUUGCGGUGCCGGGGGAAACCCCUCAUCCCAAUAUCUAUUUCAAACACUUGUGAACCCGUUCGAGUUGUGCUCGUCGUGUCGCCCCUCAAAAGGCGUCGCGCUUCGCAGCGAAGGACACCCCAUAUUAAACCAUUUGUACAACUAUCAUGACUUAAUCUAAGAUUUUCUAAUUGAAAUACAACUUUUAACAAUGGAUCUCUUGGCUCUU
rnacentral:misc_RNA from 1 species